rnacentral:lncRNA from 1 species
AACCAUUUCAUCAAUUCAUCUCUCAAUAUUAUUUUCACAUAAACCAUCUCAAAAUUAUUUCCCUUAAAUCAUUCUAAAAUUCUUUUUCAUCUAAACCAUUCUCGAAACCAUUUACUCAAAAAGAUUGCAUUGGCCUAAGGCCACAAUGCAUCAACAAAUAUGCAAUUUCCAUUCUAUCAAUUAAACCACAUUGAAACCAUUGUUAAAUGCUUUCAUGUAACACUUUAUCCAACUCAUGUUUUAAAUAAUUUUAAAUUUUAGCAUACACAAAUGUUACAUUUUUAAAAAUUAAUACAACAAUAAUAUAGACAAAUAUAGUCAUGAGUAAAGUGAAAUCAUUUUUUAAAAAAAAAAAUUUUUUUUUUUACUGUUCAAAAAAAUUUUAGGUUGUCGAACACCUAAAAAUAGAUGUCGACACCAAAAUAUCAGUAGCCAAAAUUGUCUAAAAAUUCCUGCCAUGUGUCGGCAACCAGCGGCACCACCAAAUGUGGUAACGCCCCAGGUCAAACCAAGACCUGGCCACGUGAGGCACAACACUCAAGAAAAUGCGAAAAAAGUCAAACUAAGAUUAUCUGACAACACGUUGUCUUACAUUCAGAGUACGUAAUCUAUCCCUCUAGUGGGACCAUGCUCUCCAUGAGCUAUCCAAAUACAAAGUAGGAUGAUAAUCCGUAGACAAUGUCUGUAGGUUACGGCAAAAGAAUAUUUACAAUUCCCAAAAAUACUUUACAAGUUUCUAGACCAAAGAGAAGUAAAGGCAAUCCACAGCCUAAUAGAAGUAAAGAUAACCCGUCUGUACCUGAAAUCAUUUAGUAAAGGUGAGUUACCUUGAAAAGAUUUACACAAUGGACUUGAUAGGGUCUCAAGCCAAAACCAUGGAUACAUAACUAUACAAUAUGAAAACAUGAGCCAACACAAUGUUGUCAUCAUAUCAAAAUACUUUUAAUUUUUUAAUCCGUGAUUUCACAAAACAUCCGGCUUUUCUCUAAACAACUACACCAUUCAAAUCCAUGAUUUAUCAAGAUCAUGGAUUUUCACCAACCCAUCGGGGGCUGUUCUCGAAAAAGAUCAAUAAUCUCAUUCUUUAGAAUUUAUCAAUUUCUAAAAUUCAUAUAUUUUUUCCAAAAAUGUAAAUAUUCAAUCCUUGGAAUGACACACCAGGCUAACACCCUAUCCAAUCUCAUCAUGCGCUAAAGCAUUCGAGAGCGAUAAACAUCUAGUCAACUUCCCAGGCUUUCACCGUGGGCUAUGACAUUCCCUCUAUCCAGACGCAUUGUCACCUCGGACUUCACCGAAAGGGUUCGUACUCCCUAUAAACAAUCGCAUUCCUCGACUUUCACCGAAAGGGUCGAGUUAUCCCUAUACACAAUUGCAUUCCUCGACUUUCACCGAAAGGGUCGACAUCCCUAUUGCGCAUUGCCAUCUAGGGACCUUUAUUUCUCGACUUUCACCGACGGUUUUACUAUACCACAUAUAUAUGCCAUCUAGACUUUCUUUUAGGGACUUUCACCGAAGGUUAUUUAUUACUUACCCCAAUAUCCGGCCUACUUUUCGGAUUUUACCAAAUAUUUGACAUACCCAAUGGUACACACGACGUAUCUGUCUCCCGUAUGGUUUCCCGGUAUUAUUCCUAGCGUGUGUGAUUCUCAAAACCAUUUCCCACAUUACAACCUUUCUCAAAAUCAUUUCAUCAAAAUCAUUCUCAAAACAUUUUCAAAUUAAAUCUCUAAACAUCAUUUCCUAAAAAUCAUUUUCACUAAAUCCAUUCUCUAAACUUUUUCUAAAAAAAGAUUGGCAUUUGCGGGCCACACUACAGCAACAAAUAUGCAAUGAACCAAUCUAUGUCAAUAAUAAACUAUCAUUGAACCGUUUUUUUUUAAAUGCAUUUAAUUUAAAAAACUUUAUCCAAUACUCAUUCUCCAAAAAUAAAUUUUAAAUUGCACAUACACAAAUGUUUACAUUUUAAAAGUUAAAUGAAAUAAUAAUAUAUAUAAAAUUAUAGUCAUGAUUUAAGUGAAACCAUUUUAAAAAAAAAAAUUUAAUUUUUUUUUUUACUGUUCAUGGUAUGUCGACACCUGAAAAUCUGUGGUGUCGACACCAAUGUUAGUAGCCAAAAUCACACUGUUCAAGGGGUCGACCAACCAAAAGUCAGUGUCCAAAUUUUCUUCAUUCUCCUGGUUCAAAUGUGUCGACACAAAAACCUAGGUGUCGACACCAACCAUCAGUGUGAUUUUGUCGAUUUUCAAAACUUUCAUUUUCAAUUUAAACCAAAGUUCUUCCUUUAAGGUUCUAUACCUACAAUGAAUACACUCAAUGGACUUUAUAUAAGUCAUUAACAACAAAACCAAAAAAUAAACACACACAAGAUAACUCCUUACAAUAAACCACAAAGUAAGUUUCAACAAUGAAUCCUCCUUUUCAACUUCCAUUGUAGAUCAAUGUUCCAUUUUAUAGAUCAAUCUCAAAUAUGUGUUCAUAGACUUUAUUAUAAGCUAGUAACAACAAACCCAAAACUAUAAACCCCACAAGAUAACACCCUUUACUUCAAAUCCAAGCAAUGCAAGCCCAAAAAAUGGUGUGAGGCCUUCGAAUUUUUAAUGCUCCGAUUCUAAUGUUCGGUGGCUGCCACGCGUAGCCCUCGUUCGAGUAGAUGAUAUUCUCUCAAAGAAUCACUACGUCAAAUAACACUCACUCACUAGAUCUAAGCUUCAAUGCCAACCCAGUUUUGGCUCAACUUGAGAGGAGAGAGAGAAGAAAGGGAAGAAGAAGACUCUUCAACCAAAAAAUAAAUAUAAAUUGCUAAUAUUAAUUGUGUUAGGUUUCAAAAUAUGAAAUGACACAAAUGCCCUUCCUUGGGCCAUUGGGGCUUUGUUGAGCCCCCAAGCAACAAAUCCAACCACAACCGUACUAAUUGGGUCCCCCCCCCCCCCCCAACCAUUGGCCAUUUUCGUCACAUCCUCUUUCAAACUCAUUCAAUUGCCAAUUAAUAUUCUACAUGGCCCAAUUAAAUUUAAUGGUCCAUAUAUAAUACUAAAACCACGUGACGAAAUAAUAUAGACAUAUACAAUAUAUAUAUGCACACGUGGAUGAUGACAACACAGAGUCAUAAUUAUCAAAAAACAAAUUUUGAACCCUUACAAAAUGCAGUAGCCAAAAAUUAAAGUUCAUGUAUUCAAGGUGUCGCACAGUGUCGACACCAACCAAGUAACAAAUUUCUCACAGUCGGCCUUUCAAAGGUGUCGACACCAACAUCCUAGGGAGUCGACACAAACCAUCAGUAUCCAAAUUCUAAAUCCUCCUCUCAAGGUGCGACACAACAUCCUAGGUGUCGACACAAACACCAAACAAAAUUUCAUGAUUCUUAAUUUUUAAUUAAAUAAGUUUCUUCCUUAAGGUUCUAUACCCCAAAUAAUACUUUUAAUAGAAACUUUUAUAUAAGCCAUUAAAACAAACCCAAGAUUAACCCCAUAAGAAAAAUCGCCCAUUUACCUCAAAUCCAAGCAAUGCAAGCCUCUUAAAAAAAUGGUGAUUGAAGAUGAGUGAUAAAGCCUCAAAAAUCACUAGCUACGAUUUCAAAAUUUUAGGGUCAAUACGUAGCCAUCGUGUGUAGAUGAUUAUUAUCCCAAAUGAUCACUAUCAAGAUUUCACUCCAACUCACUAGAUCUAAACACAAAAUGCAAACCUUUUUGGCUCAAAACCUAGAAGAGAAGGAGAAGGGAGAAGAAGACCAAAAAAAUAAAAUAAAUCCUAACAUUAAAUUGUAUUUAGGUCAAAAUAUGAAAUGACACAAAUGCAUCACUUCCAGAGGGCCCUUGGGCUUUGUUUGUCCCAAGCAACAAAUCCAAAUUACAACCAGAUGGGGUCCACUCAAUUUUGGCCCAUUUUCUCACAUCAUCUUCCUUCAUAAACCAAUUCCCAAUCCAACACUAAACUCCACAUUUGACCUAAUUAAAUUAAAGGGGUUAUAUAUAUAUACUAAAGCCCGCUAACACAAUAAAAUUAUAUAUACAAUAAAUAUAUAUAGGUACACGUGCAUGUGAUCACACCACAUGGUCAUAAUACAAAAAAAAAUUUGAACCCUUAUAGUUGGGUGGGUAUGGGAUUGGGAUUUGGAUUUAUGUGAUGUUAAGUCGUCACAAAAUUAGUUGGAAGUUAUCAUAGGAGAAAAUAGAAAACGUUUAAAACUUAUGGGACUCAUUUUAAAAAAUUCAAACUUAAAGCCAAAGGUGAAAAUUGGAAACAUACUUGAGGGGAAACAUUGUGCUUGUCUUUUGUAUUGACAUAAGUUGAAAAAAAUAUUAUAAAGUUAGGUGUUCAGGUUGAAAAAAAUUUAAAAUUCAGAUGACGAAAACAUCACUGGUAAAAAAAAAAAUUAUUUUUUUUAUUUUAUAUUUUUAGAUAUAAAUAAGAUAUAAGAAUAUUAAAUUUCUUAAUUUUAAAAGAAAUUAUUUUGUAAUUAUGAAAGAGUUGAAGUUAUACACAACUGGCUCACGUAUCUCAUUUGUUGGGUGAUCUAUUCGACAACAAACACAUCAACAAUCAUAGAAACUUGGUUCAUUUGUUAUUCAGGCUCCGUUUGGUAAUUCUUAAAAAUCAAGUUUUUUUAAACUUGUUACCCAAAAAGCUAAGAUUUUUUGGCAUUUUUGUUUUGAGAGAAUUACACUGACCUCUCCUGAGGUUUGCCUUUAAUACACAAAGCACCCCUGACGUUUGAAAAAUUACAGUGACCUCCCCUGAGUUUGAAAAAUUAUCUUCCCAACCCCUGACAUCAUUUUUCUCCCUUUUUUUCUUACAAAAUUACCAAAAUGCCCCCUCCACUCUCUCUCUCUCUCUCUCUCAUCCAUUCUCUCCCUUUGUGUAUUAAAGGCAAACCUCAGGGGAGGUCAGUGUUAUUCUCCCUUUUGUUUUUGUGGCUUUACUUUAAUUAAAACUAAGCAAACAAACAAAAACAGAAAAGCAAAAAAGUCAACUUUAAUUAAUUUUUUUAUUUAUUUUAAACA